GGAUGGCUCAGUGAGUAGAGCAUGAGGUUCUUAACCUCAGGGUUGUGGGUUCGAGCCCCAUGUUGGGCA